AGAGUUUGAUCAUGGCUCAGGAUGAACGCUGGCGGUAUGCCUAACACAUGCAAGUCGUACGAGAGUUUUUAACUCUAGUGGCGGACGGGUGAGUAACACGUAAGAAUUUACCUUCAGGAGGGGGAUAACAAUUGGAAACAAAUGCUAAUACCCCAUAUGCUUUCGAGUGAAAUGGAUUUAUAUUUAUCCGCCUAAAGAGAAGCUUGCGUCUGAUUAGCUUGUUGGUAAGGUAAAAGCUUACCAAGGCGACGAUCAGUAUCUGGUUUGAGAGGACGAUCAGACACACUGGAACUGAGACACGGCCCAGACUCCUACGGGAGGCAGCAGUGGGGAAUAUUGGACAAUGGGGGCAACCCUGAUCCAGCCAUGCCGCGUGAGUGAAGAAGGCCCUAGGGUUGUAAAGCUCUUUC
rnacentral:rRNA from 1 species